rfam:Nicotiana sylvestris Nsyl_contig164059, whole genome shotgun sequence.
UGGACAGAUUAUUGUAUUCGACUGUAUUCACGGCGUGAAACAGGGGAUUACGCUGUUUUUAAACGGAAAGUGAAUCAAUUAACAUAAUAGACUCCU